UACAGAGGGUGCGAGCGUUAAUCGGAAUUACUGGGCGUAAAGCGCACGUAGGCGGCUUGGUAUGUCGGGUGUGAAAUCCCCGGGCUCAACCUGGGAACUGCAUCCGAAACUGCCUUGCUAGAGUAUGGGAGAGGGAAGUGGAAUUUCCGGUGUAGCGGUGAAAUGCGUAGAUAUCGGAAGGAACAUCAGUGGCGAAGGCGACUUCCUGGACCAAUACUGACGCUCAGGAGCGAAAGCAUGGGGAGCGAACAGG
rnacentral:rRNA from 1 species